rnacentral:lncRNA from 1 species
AGCAUUAGGGUUUUAAACCCUAAACUGAACUUUUUCCUUUAAUCAGCAUUAGUGUUUUAAACCCUAAACUGAACUUUUCCAUUCAGUCAGCAUUAGGGUUUUAAACCCUAAACUGAACUUUUCCAUUCAGUCAGCAUUAGGGUUUUAAACCCUAAACUGAACUUUUCCUUUAGUCAGCAUUAGGGUUUUAAAUCCUAAACUGAACUCUUUCCUUUAGUCAGCAUUAGGGUUUUAAACCUUAAACUGAACUUUUUCCUUUAGUCAGCAUUAGGGUUUUAAACCCUAAACUGAACUCUUUCAUUUAGUCAGCAUUAGGGUUUUAAACCCUAAACUGAACUUUUCCUUUAGUCAGCAUUAGGGUUUUAAACCCUAAGCUGAACUUUUCCAUUCAGUCAGCAUUAGGGUUUUAAACCUUAAACUGAACUCUUUCCUUUAGUCAGCAUUAGGGUUUUAAACCCUAAACUAAACUUUUCCUUUAGUCAGCAUUAGGGUUUUAAACCCUAAACUGAGCUUUUCCAUUCAGUCAGCAUUAGGGUUUUAAACCCUAAAUUGACCUUUUUCCUUUAAUCAGCAUUAGGGUUUUAAACCCUAACUGAACUUUUUUCCAUUCAGCCAGCAUUAGGGUUUUAAACCCUAAACUGAGCUUUUCCAUGCAAUCAGCAUUAGGGUUUUAAACCCUAAACUGAAUUUUUCCUUUAGUCAGCAUUAGGGUUUUAAACCCUAAACUGAACUUUUUUCCAUUCAGCCAGCAUUAGGGUUUUAAACCCUAAACUGAGCUUUUCCAUUCAGUCACUGCUGUUUGCUCAGUC